CCUGAAGACCUCACAACACCUGAAGACCUCACAACACCCGGCCCACAACAAUUCAAUGAUUCUGUGUGGUUCCUGGCAAUAAUUGCUCUCCUGUGUGCAGGAAUUGCACUCAUUGUUGCAACAAAAAUCAAGCCCUUUCUGCAAUGGAUCAGGAACAAGCAUGGAUACAUUUGGGCUGGAAAACCUGAACCAGGAUCACCAUGCUGUGAGGUUGAGGAGGUAUCCAAGCCUGUCCAGGAGGUCUGUGGGAAAUGUGACCAACCUAUUGACGUAUGAGUUUAAAGACUGGUUGGAUGCUGAAUGAAUGAAUGUGACAGGAGGGCAUUUACUGAUACACAGCUGAUGCAAACCAUCGUUUGUUGCUCAUAGAACAAAUGGAACCAAACGUCACUCUGGUCCGCACUGACAAAUGGAACCACAGACAUUGUUGGUAUCAAGACUGAUACCAUUUCCUGCAAGGAAACAUGACUGUAUGACAUCUGUGACAUUAAGAUGAUAAAGGUGCACAAAAAGAGAGACUGAAGAAUCUGGAAGACACGUUGAUGGCUAUGCCUAAGUCAGACAUUGUGCACUAUGUUGCUCAAAUAGUAUGUACUAUGGUACACAAAAGUAUUUCACAUCUUUAUAUUUUCAAUAUACCUGUGUAUAUUUGUGCUGCAUG